UACGAAGGGGCUAGCGUUGUUCGGAUUUACUGGGCGUAAAGCGCACGUAGGCGGAUCUUUAAGUCAGAGGUGAAAUCCCAAGGCUCAACCUUGGAACUGCCUUUGAUACUGGGGAUCUCGAGUUCGGGAGAGGUGAGUGGAACUGCGAGUGUAGAGGUGAAAUUCGUAGAUAUUCGCAGGAACACCAGUGGCGAAGGCGGCUCACUGGCCCGAUACUGACGCUGAGGUGCGAAAGCGUGGGGAGCAAACAGG
rnacentral:rRNA from 1 species